rnacentral:rRNA from 1 species
UACGUAGGUGGCAAGCGUUAUCCGGAUUUACUGGGUGUAAAGGGCGUGUAGGCGGGAGAGCAAGUCAGACGUGAAAUUCCAGGGCUCAACCCUGGAACUGCGUUUGAAACUGUUCUUCUUGAGUGAUGGAGAGGCAGGCGGAAUUCCGUGUGUAGCGGUGAAAUGCGUAGAUAUACGGAGGAACACCAGUGGCGAAGGCGGCCUGCUGGACGUUAACUGACGCUGAGGCGCGAAAGCGUGGGGAGCAAACAGG